rnacentral:lncRNA from 1 species
GUGCACAACCUGUACUGUCAGAUGAGACCAUUGAAGUGGAAUCCUUGGUUUGUUCCAGAAGAGGAGCCAUCAAUAGCAGUAGCAUGGAUUAGUUUUCCAGACUUGCCGCCUAAUUUCUUUGCUAGAGAAGCCGUCUUCUCACUAGCCUCUGCAGUUGGAAAACCAUUAACAGUAGAUAUGGCGACACAAAACAAGACUAGACCUAGUUGUGCAAAGGUUAAAGUGGAGGUAGAUUUAUUAGCACAACAUCCACAGAGGAUUAAAAUUAGAAAAGGAUGAAGUCAGAGGAAAAGUAAAUUCUAAAUGGGUCACAAUCAAGUAUGACUAUCUGCCAAAAUAUUGCAGUCAUUGUAAGCUACAGGGACAUAGAGAAACUGAAUGUCGUGCAUUACACCCAGAGCUGGAAAGGCAAUUUAGAGAAAACCUUGAGGAAAAUAAGGACAAAAUGGGAACAGCAGCAACUCAGACCAAAAUACUAAGUAGUGGUAAAGCUGUUGGUAACACACAAAGAAAGCAGGAAUGGAUGCAGCGAAGAAAUAAAUAUGCAAAAGAUAAAUAAAAGGGGAAGGAUAAUAGAGAUGUACAAUGGCAAAAAUAAAGUGGAAGCUGAAAAACAUACUGAAGGAGUCAGCACUAAUAAUGCCUUUGCAACUCUGCAAAACAAUGACAAAUUAGAUGAUACAAGGGAUGCUACAAGUGCAACAAAGGGGACCAAGGAGACUGAAGAGAACAAGGACAGGGAAGAAGAACUUAGCAGCAACAAAUCUGAAGAAGAAAGAGACGUCAACAAGCAAAUGGGAACAAGGCAAUGGGUGGAUAUUAAUUUUAAAAAAGACAAAGGGACAAAGGAGAAUCAGAUAACACAACCACAAGUUAGUUCUAACAGUAAACACGAUGUAGGCAGUGAAACACCUACGAAUAACACAGGCACACAAGAGAAAAGCACAUGUGAGAUAAGUUCAAAGGAGAAAGUCAUUCAGAAAAAGAAAACUCAAGGGGAAAAUAAGACGGAUGAGUUAGGGAACAGAGAGCAGACAACAAGUCAGAAUCAGCUAGAAUUAACAAAGCAACAGAACAUACAUGAUGAAGAAAGGAUAGAGGCAAUAGAUACAACAGAACGGGUCAUUUUAGAUCCUGACAAGGAAGAAAUUGAUGCUUCCUUGGCAGAAAUAGAAAUGCAAAACAACAACAUUAGAAGUGAGAACAUUGAGAAGGAAACAUUGGAGAAGAAUAUAAAAGAGGUGGCUAAAGCAGGAGACAUUUCACCAAGACAUACAAGGGCAAUGGAGGAGAGUCAUCUAAAAAACAAAGGUGGAAAAUCUCAAAAGAUACCUCACAAGCAACAAGACAACUACCAAAGAGGCAAGCUGCCUCAAAACACAGUCAUUAAUGAUGAAUAAGAUCCUUCUAUGGAAUAUUAGGUCAGUGAAUACUCAACAAGCGUUUGAGAGACUGACAAAUUAAAAAUAGAAGAAACAAUUACUGGUUAAUAGGUCUGAUGGAACCUUUUCAAGAUCUAUCUGAUUUGGAGAGAUAUAGAAGAAGAUUGGGUCAUGAUACUGCUUUGGUAAAUUGCUCUGGUCAAAUCUGGAUAUUCACAAAAGAUGUACAUGUAGAUGUUAAUGAAGAUUCUACACAACAAGUGACAUUAAAAGUGGUACAUCAAAACAUGGGAGUUGAGGCAUUGGUCACUGUAGUGUAUGCAUCUUGUAAUGCAAUUAACAGGGAAGAGCUAUGGAACUCAAUACAACAUAUCUCUAGUCACAUUUCCUUACCAUGGUUGGUAGGAGGUGAUUUCAAUGUAAUACUUUCUCCUGAAGAAAAAUUGGGUGGGUUUCCGGUCUAUUGUCAGGAAACUGAAGAUUUUGCCAACUGUAUUGCUACUAGUAGUCUAUAUGACCUGGGAUACAUUGGAAGCACUUACACAUGGUGGAAUGGAAGAUCAGAGGAUGCAUGCAUCUUCAAAAGGUUAGAUAGAAUUUUGGGAAAUCAAAGAUUAAUGAACUUGUUUCCAACUAUGAAGAUCAAGCAUCUUAUUAAAAAAGGGUCAGAUCACUCUCCAUUAGUGUUGGAAUGUUCACAGAAUACUGAGGAAAUUAUCAAACCAUUCAAGUUCUUAAACUUUUGGACUAAACAUUCCUCUUUUGAAAAGCUAGUAGAGGAACAUUGGAGACUUGAUUUUUAUGGUAACCCUUUUUACAUGGUACAACAGAAAUUGAAGAGGGUGAAUUAUGCUCUCAGAAGAUUUGAAGAAUCUCCAACCUUACAUAACAGAGAAGAGUUACAUAAAGCUCAAGCACAAUUAAGCAGAUACUUACAUCUUGAAGAAGAGUACUGGAGACAGAAAUCAGGUCUGAAAUGUUUUCAAGAGGGAGAAAAGAAUACCAAAUUCUUUCAUUCAUAUGUAACGGGAAAAAGGAAAAAGUUGAAGCUAAAUAGAAUACAGAAUACUCAAGGAGAUUGGCUAACAGAGGAAAGAGACAUAGCUGCUGAAGCCAUAAGAUACUUUCAGGAGCAAUUUACAGAGGAUCAAUCUCAAAAAGAAUUCUCUUUAUUAAAUCAUAUUCCUCGUUUGGUAACAGAGGAGCAGAAUCAAAAGCUGGAGGAAUUGCCAACAGAAGAAGUUAAAGCAGCAGUAUUUGGGUUAAAUAAAGAAAGUGCAUGUGGUCCAGAUGGAUUUACAAGUAUUUUCUAUCAUACAUGCUAGAACAUCAUAAAAGAAGACAUAAUUAGAAUGGUAAGGGCCUUCUUUGUAGGCCAAGAGAUUCCCAGAUAUAUUACUCACAAAUUUGGUCUUAAUACCAAUAAAGGACCAGGUGCAUACCUAUGCAGAUGUAAGACCAAUUAGCUUGAGUAACUUCUGUAAUAAAAUAAUUUCUAGAGUUAUACAUGAGAGAUUAAAGAAUAUUCUGCCUACUAUCAUCUCGGAAAACCAUACAGGUUUUGUUAAAGGAAGAAAUAUAGUGGAAAAUAUUCUUUUGGCACAGGAGAUUAUAAGGGAUAUCAGGAUGAGGACAAAAACAGCAAAUGUGGUAGUAAAACUAGAUAUGACCAAGGCAUAUGAUAGGCUAUCAUGGGUAUUCCUCACUAAAGUUCUGAGACAAUUUGGGUUCUCUGAAGUUUUAAUUGACAUGGUAUAUAGACUUCUGUCCAAUAACUGGUACUCAAUUUUGAUAAAUGGGCAGACUCAUUGAUUUUUCAAGUCAUCUAGAGGAGUCAAGCUGGGAGAUCCAUUAUCACCGGCUCUUUUUAUAAUUGCAGCAAAAACACUAAUGAGGGGUUUAAAUGCUCUGUGGGAAAAUUAAGAAUUCAAAGGAUAUGGUCUACCCAAAUGGAGCCCAAAUAUUAGCCAUCUUUCUUAUGAAGAUGAUACAAUUUUAUUUGUAUCGGCCGACAAGAAAUCAAUGAAGAUGAUAAUUAGGGUACUAAGAAGAUAUGAAAACUCUUCAGGUCAGCUAAUUAAUUUGGAGAAGAGUGCAUUUUAUGUACAUGAAAAGGUGAAUUCAAGACUGAUAGGAAGCAUCAAAAGACUAACCAACAUAAAACAUGGAGCUUUCCCUUUCACAUACUUGGGAUGUCCUAUAUUCUAUGGAAGAAAUAAGAUUUCCCACUAUGAUUCAGUGAUUAAAAAGGUGGGAAAAAGAAUACAGGGAUGGCAAGGAAAAAUGUUAUCAUUUGGUGGAAGAGUUGUUUUAAUUUCACAUGUGUUGCAGAGUAUUCCUAUUCACUUAUUGUCUGAUUUAUCUCAUCCAAAAGGAGUGAUAAGACAGACCCUUCGGGGUGGCCCAGUGGUUUGAGCUUGGGACUUCCAUGUUGGAGGUCUCAAGUUCGAAACCCCUUGCCAGUGAAAGCAAGGGGUUUUGCCUUCUGGGUCGAGCUCGUCGCACCAGGCUUGCCUAGUGCGGUUUACCUCUCCUAUGUGGUUUGCGAGCUAUUGCAUAAGAGCGGGGGUUUUACCCUGUGCGCACCCAAAGGGUAGCGGCUGCGGGUUUNNNNNNNNNNNNNNNNNNNNNNNNNNNNNGGUUUCCCUUGUCAUAAAAAAAAAAAAAAAAAAGGAGUGAUAAGACAGAUACAUAUGAUGCACUGGAUAAGUUGGGAUAAAUUAUGUCUACCUAAGGAGGAAGGAGGAGUUGGUUUUAGAUCUCUUGCUGAUAUAUCUAAAGCUCUAUUUUGCAUAUUAUGGUGGAUUUUCAGAACAAAGACUACACUUUGGAGCUCUUACAUGGGUAAUAAAUACUGUAAAAAGCUACAUCCAGUAAUUGCUCAGAGUAAGGGAGCAUCUGCCACAUUGAGAACAAUGAUCAAGAUUAGAGAGUUGAUAGAACAUCAAAUAUGGUGGCAAAUUAAAGGGGGAGACUCAAGUACAACUCAAGGAGCGCUAUAUUACUUCAGUCAUGAAACCAGUCAAGAGGAAGAGAUAGAGGUCAAGGAAUUUGCAAAUCAACAGGGUUGGAAAGUAGACAAACUAAGAAGGUGGUUAUCAGAAGAUAUUGUACAACACAUACUGAAAACAAUCCCAAGUCCAACUUCUGAUGGUAUACUGGACAGAACAUGGUGGAUGCUUGAAGAAAGUGGAAAAUUCAUAGUUAAAAGUGCCUGGGAGUAUGUGAGACAGAGGAAAGAGAGGCAAAGUAGAUUACUUAACAUGUAGGAAAAGAGACUUCCAUUCAAAAUAUCUUUCUUUAUUUGGAGAGUUUGGAAAUAUAGAAUACCCACUGAUGAUAUAUUGAUGAGAAUGGGGGUGAACAUAUCAUCAAGAUGUUGGUGUUGUGAUAAUCCAACACAAGAAACUGUGGAACAUCUCUUUUUAACCUCUCCAAUAGCUUAUAAGUUAUGGAGGAUGUUUGCUCAUUUUGCAGGUCUAAGAUUAGAAGGACAAAACCUAAACCAAGUGCUAAUAACAUGGUGGAUAGCACAGGCAGGUCACAAACUCCAACAAAUUAUGAAAAUUAUGCCUGCAAUUAUACUUUGGGAAAUAUGGAAAAGAAGAAAUAUCAUCAAACAUGGGGAAACAUGACAUAUAAUAAACUUGUCUAUCAGGUUACCCUCAAUGUAUGGCAAUUUGCAAGAUCAAGUUUUCCAAGUAUGAAACAAUUUCCCACCAACUGGUCAGAUAUGGUCAAAUUCUUAGAGAACUACAAGCCAAGGAUAUACUACAAAAAGAUCAUAUGGAUGCCCCCAAAUUCAAAUACUAGAAAGUGCAACACAGAUGGAGCAAGUAAGGGCAAUCCAGGCAAGAGCUCUUAUGCUUACUGCCUAAGGGAUCAGGAAGGAAAUUUAAUCUAUGCACAAGCAGAGGAGAUACCAGAAACAACUAACGUGGAAGCAGAAGCAGUGGCAAUAAAGGAAGCAAUAUAUCACUGUACAACAAGGGGAUUUUCGAGAGUAACAAUAGAGACCGAUUCAUUGCUAUUGAAAAACAUACUACAAGGAAAUUGGGAGAUACCAUGGAACAUUAGAAUUAUAGUGGAAGACACUCUAACACUGAUGCAAUAUUCUACUGUUAAUAUUGAACACAUUUAUAGGGAAGGGAAUACAUUAGCCGACUACUUAGCUAAUUAUGCAUUUUAAAUGACAGGGAGACAACAAUUUAAUACAUACAACGAACUACCAUUGCAGGGGAGGAAAAUCCUCAACUUGGACAAACACUCGGUACCGAAUUUAAGAAUCAAGAACAAGGCAAUCAGGUGAUCAACACACAAAUAAUUGAUGGUCAGGAGUAGAUACAUUACUACAAAACAGUAAAGAGUUCACAGGCACGACAAACGAAGCCAGAGCACACAACUACGCUGCUCACGGAAAACAAAACCAGAGCACAACAACUACACUACUAACACAGGUUACAGAUCUAACACAAGAUAAGUGUAAGGCGAAAAACAAGGGUAUGGUGACAAGAUUCAAAGAAGAUAACUCUGUCAUAGAUGAAACCAUACAACAACAAGGGACUGCCUGGAAAAUCGACAAACAAAAAUGAAAACAAUUGAGAAAUGCAGAUUGAGGAAUUGAAAGGAAAGGAAAAAGGUGAACUUACCGGUUAAACCCGCAGAAGCUCACGAUCUUGAGAGAGACAUGACUUUCCUUAAUUUCAAAUGGGAGAAAGAUUGACAUUUUC